CCCCACAUCCCCCUAGAGGAGCCUGUCCUGUAAUUGAUACUCCCCGUUUAACCUCACCGCUUCUAGCUUAUCAGUCUGUAUACUUCCGUCCUAGCUUACCGUGUGAACGAUAGUAAGCCCUAAUGCCCAAACCAAUACAUCAGGUCAAGGUGCAGCAAACGAAGCGGGAAGAGAUGGGCUACACUUUCUAACAUAGAAAAGACGGAAAGUCUCAUGCAAUCUGACUAGAAGGUGGAUUUAGCAGUAAAAAGAAAGCAGAGAAUUCUUUUAAACCCGGCACUGGGGUGUGUACACACCGCCCGUCACCCUCUUCGAAAUAUAAUAUUAAUAAUUAAUAAACCUAAGUCUAAAGAAGAGGCAAGUCGUAACAUGGUAAGCAUACCGGAAGGUGUGCUUGGAAA
rnacentral:rRNA from 1 species